GCUGGAACAGGCUGCCCAGAAAGGCUGUGGAUGUUCCAUUCCUGGAGGUGUUCAAGCCCAGGUAGGAUGGAGCUCUGGGCAACCUGGCCUAGUACCAGAUCUGAAGAUCCCAGUCACCAACUGAGAGGACAGAGGAGAACACAGCUUGUGCUCCCGAUCCCUUCAGAAGUCUUCCCAGAGCCCUGAAGUUCCUUUUGAUUGACUGAGAACAACUUUUAUCUACUACUUCAUUUCCAGUGUGGAAUACCAGUAAUGUAGUAGUGUUGAAAGCCUUCUGCAGUGCUGGGGCAGGGAGUGGCUGCUGCUCCCCACUUGUCCCAGGAAAAAAGUGGAAGAGCUGGUGAUUUGUCAGCAUGGAAACAGAACCGUCUGGCCCAGAGCUGCGGAGAGACCGGCAUGCCCAGACCCUCCCUAGGCAGUUUUAUGAACAAAUCUUUUUUUUUUUCUUUUUUUUUUCUUUUUUUUUUCUUUUUUAACAGUUAAAACUUGGAUAAUAACUGGAGGGUUUAACCAGGUUUUAGAUUUAUUGAAAAGUCCUUAUCUCCUUUCUCUGAGAAGGGUGUAUGAGAGGAGCUGAAGAGCUUUCUGAUGUAUUGGUUAGAUCUGAGACCUCCUUCCUCGAACCCAAGCAACUGAUCCUAUGCUUCUCUUGGUAUGUAUGUUCCUGGUUCCAGCUUUGCCACGUGGUGCUCAAAAGCGUGUGUAUUAUGGUCUGAUGACAUCAGAGGCAGAUGUUGGUGGUAUGGAAGUAGAGGUUGGACCUUCCCACUCCUAUUCCAUUGUGUUUUGUUGCUACAUGACAGAUGGCAGCAGAUGGGCAGUCUGACAAAAUGGCAUCUGACAUGGAAGUGCAUAUAGAGGAAAGGUGUGCCACUGAAUUCCUCCCCGCAGAAAAAAUGACACCCGGUGGCUUUUGUCUAUGCUUGCUGAAUGUUCAAGGAAAACAAACAGUGGAUGUGAACACACUGAGGAGUUGUAUUAACCAAAGCUCCUCCAGGAAUUCCUGCUGUCAGGCAGAUCUCCUGGUACAUGGUAGAAAAUUAAAGAAUCAGUGAAGAGCACCGUUCAAAAUCCAGUCAUCCUGGACUGGCUCUGAAACACAGAAAAGGACAGUUCUUUCUGAAAGAAGCCAUGGAAGAAUGUCAUUUCCUUCCUACAGUGUCCACCAUGCAUAUUAAAUACGAGGAGAGGAAGAUGAAGUGAAAGAGAAUUUGGCAUGAGGUGAAGGAAUAUUGAAGGACAGCAGAAUGCACAGUCAGGAGAAAGAAGUGGAAUAUGCUGCAGAAUGGAAUAAGACACAUUGUGGAAUAUACUGCAGAAACAAAUCUGCAUACAAAUUCAGAAUAGAAUACUGUGAAUAGGCAGUAAGAACUAAUAUGUUUAGUACUGCAAGGAGAUAAAAGGGCAAAUGAAAACUGAACCACAGCUAUCUGAUUUAGAGCACAGGAAAAUAAACUUGCACCCACCUACAUUUGUCUGGUUAUGCAUACCCUGUUAUGCAAACAACUAAAAUACUAAUUUCAGUUCAUUUUAAUUUCUUAC
ensembl:lncRNA